GAACCUGCACCGCUGUUGAGCUCCACUCUUACGGAAGCAAGCAAAACGAGCCAGCCGGAUGAAGAUGGUCCCGGACCGACUGUCCACCACCAUGUGCCCGGCUGCUCGCAGCCUUCCCCGGGCAGCCGGUCUAAUGUGAGUCGGGGAAGAACGGUGGUGGUGUGUGUUUUUUUUUGUUUUUUUUUUUGUCAACAUGUGAAGCGGGCUGAAGGACGAAGGACAGCGGCUCACUGGACGAUCUCAUCCCGCUGAAAGCUCUUCAGAGAGGGGGGGCAGCCGCCCUCCUCACACCCCUCAUCACUUUCUCCAUGGCGUCUCCGCAACAGUCAAGGAUUCAGUCGUACCUGGAAAAGAAUAAAAUCGGACCUUUAUUUGAGGAGUUGAUGACCAGACUGAUAAGCGAGACUCCCGACCAUCCGAUUCCUUUCCUCAUUGAUCACCUGCAGACCAAACAGGACAGUCCAGGAAAGAUGCACAGAGCUCUGUCGGGUUCUGCGGCGCUUUGGGCUCAGAGCUCGCCGGAAAGCAAAAACACUGGAAGGGAGCCACGCCAUUGCGAGAAACCGUGGAAGAUUCACUCUAAAAAACCCAAGAAGUCCAAAAGCGACUUGGCCGUGUCGAGUCUGUCGCCGCCAUCACCAGAAUCCAAGUCCUUGCCUCAGUGUCCGUCCUGGGACUGGAGGGACAGCCGCGACUUUGACGAGCUCAACCACAUUUUGCUGGAGAGCAAGAAACUGGGCCGCGCCCUGGAGAGCCUUUCUCGCAGUAUCGCCGUCUCGGAUGACCUGGACCAGAACCUGGGAGGCUUCAACUCCGUACUGCGCCCCCGAGUCGUAGGGGAGUGGAUCGGCCGCGCAGAUGAGGACUCGGACCCGUUGGCCGCCGAGAUGCUGCACCCGCCCGUCCCUCGCAGCAAAAACGACAUCUGUUGGAGCGGAGACGGCCUUCCCAUUAACAGCCUAAAGAUGAAGGGCAAGAGCAAAGGGCUAAAAGAGCAGCAGCAGCAUCACAAGAAGCUCCUGGCCGCCAUGUUGUCUCAGGACUCCUUUGAUUCGCUGCACAUGCACAGUCCCACGCCUUCUAUCACCGAGGAGGAGAUGGAGUACGAGGACGAGGCCAUGGAGCUUUUGGAGGACCUGGAUGACCUGAGGAUGGAAGGCGUGACCGGCUUGGCACCGUCCGGUUGUAAGUUCAGUCAGGGACGCAGCUCUUAUCACCCCGAACCUCAGGCCAAAGUGACGCUGAAUAUCUGCUCCCGAUGUGCCAGGUUGCAGGGAGACAGUCUGCCAGACAGCAGGUCCGCAUCCGAACAGGCCGUACCUGACAUCUCAUCCCCAUUGCCCGGAGCGGAUACGGCGGCGGCGACGGCGGGACGGUUGCAACAGGAAUGCGAGGCCACGUCUCAAGUGUCGGGCUCUCGUCAGCCUGUCUGGGAGGCUGAUCUCAAGGCUGUGAGGCGUGGGACCUCCAUGAGCCUGCUGCUGGGAGACCCCCUCUUUUCCAAAGAGCUGGAGAACAUGGGCAAGCAGCUGGCUGAGGUUGAGAAGGACUUGGCCAAGCUGGCGGAAGUCGGAAAGAUGACCACUCGCAGCUCCAAUAACCCACACAGCAGUCUGCUCCACAGAACCCUCCCCGACACGCUCCCGCUUUCCAGCCUCUCCUCCAGCAGGCCCCAGUCGCCGGCCAGCGUCCUCUCAGGCAAGCCCUGCGGCGUCGGCCUCCCCCUACUCAGCCCCAAGUCCACCUUAGUCUUCGGUCGGACUGUCAGCAACCCGGGGAGCAGGACUCAAACCCCGAGGACCCCCAGCGGCAGGCCACUCACCCCGAAUAGUUUGCUGACACGCUCCGGCUUCAGCCAAGGGCCUCAUAAAGAGGUGAGCUUCAGGAGGUCGCGGAGCCGACCCGUGACGCCCACGUGCCAGCCCGUGCUCCCCCGACCGCUGCUCACGCCUCCAGGACUCAGCACCACAGACAGCCUGGGAGCCAGCCUGAGGGCGUACUUGUCUGAGGAUGAGUUCUACCAGCAGUUGCAGUCCAUCCGGCAGCCUUGGCAUAUUCCCAGCGACACUGACAGCGACAUCAUGGAGCCUCCCGAGCAGGACAAAAGUACCAGCAUGAGAUCAGUCUUUUCAGGACUUUAAAGACCAAGACCGGCGAUAUUGACCCAAUCCGACCAACUUAUUAUGCAAGCCGCUGGACAUUUUCAAUGUGAGACAUUAUUUUUAUAAAUCCUAUGAAUGAAAACUAAAUUGUAUACUUUUUUUUCCACCAAUAUUCAUAGACAAGGUACUGUUACUAUGUGAUAUGAUGAUUAUUAUUAUUAUUCUUUGCUCUUAAGCAUGCUACAAUUGCAUUUUUUUUCAGUCACAUUUUGACAGCAGGUACAAUUUGUCGCUAACGCCGUCCUUAGUUCACACUCCAAACCAACAGAAGGGGAGCACUCCAAUGUUGGUACUCUCCUGGUACUCUCUGCAGUUGAGCAAAAUAAACAUCCUACUGUUUUCCACCUUACGCGCCUUCUUCUGGAUGUGGUGGGUCACUGCCCUACCGAUCUCGUCGGCUCAGUCUAACCCUGGUUGAUGAAACCGUGGUUUUAAAGUGUAAAACCCACUCCAAAAGACACCAUGACGACACAUCUCAUCCUUGUGAACCCUUCUUGAGUCUUUUUGGCGUGGGUGUCCUCAUCUCAUGACUCCGUCUUCGAGGAUGCGGUCAACAGUGUUGUCAAGUGUCCAGUGAGUGAUACAUAGCACAUAGCGUUUGGAUUCAUAUCCAUAUAUCAACACGUCAUGUGAGCGGGAUGUGGUUUUCAAAGGUUAAAGAUGACAUUCACAUAAUAGAAUCCCAAUGGUGCCUUUUAAUAGCCAUAAUCUCACCAUAAAUGGUUUAUUAUCUCCGAAAAAAAAGAUGAUUUUUAAGCUUCACAUUCCACUUUAGUAGUACAAGCCGAACCCCAUAUUCGCCACAUGCACAAAUCAGCGGCCUGCUAACUGUUCAUACUCUUUUUCUCUCUAGUUCAUAUUUCUGCACCGCCUUGCCGUUUAUGUCAGCAUAAAAAAAAAAUCAAAGCAUACGCAGACUUGGACCAAGGCUGAGCCGUUUGAAAGACGCAGACUUGAGUUACCGCCGCAGAUGUCACUCAAAGACUCUGUUGCUUUAUCUCCAUAUGCUCAUGUUUGUGUAUUACAACCUAUCAAGAUCAACUGCUGGACCUAAUGCUGAUAUCUUAUUCAUCACUGUACUCCAUACCUCACAUUGCUGCCACAUGGUCAGUUUCAGCUCGCUUUUUUUAGUUUAGUUUGCACAAUGUUGAGACUAUCGAUGAUAAAUAAUUUGAAUUAUAUUAAAAUAGAACAAUAAAUUAUACAAUUAAUAAAUGAAAUAUAUGUCAUU